rnacentral:rRNA from 1 species
AUUGAACGCUGGCGGCAUGCCUUACACAUGCAAGUCGAACGGCAGCACGGGGCAACCUGGUGGCGAGUGGCGAACGGGUGAGUAAUGCAUCGGAACGUACCUUUCAGUGGGGGAUAACGUAGCGAAAGUUACGCUAAUACCGCAUAUUCUGAGAGCAGGAAAGCAGGGGAUCGCAAGACCUUGCGCCGAUUGAGCGGCCGAUGUCAGAUUAGCUAGUUGGUGAGGUAAAGGCUCACCAAGGCGACGAUCUGUAGCGGGUCUGAGAGGAUGAUCCGCCACUCUGGAACUGAGACACGGUCCAGACUCCUACGGGAGGCAGCAGUGGGGAAUUUUGGACAAUGGGGGCAACUCUGAUCCAGCCAUGCCGCGUGAGUGAAGAAGGCCUUCGGGUUGUAAAGCUCUUUCGGCCGGGAAGAAAUCGCACGGGCUAAUACCCUGUGUGGAUGACGGUACCGGAAUAAGAAGCACCGGCUAACUACGUGCCAGCCGCCGCAGUAACAC